rnacentral:tRNA from 3 species
GGGUCCGUACCCGAGUGGACAAAGGGGGCUGGCUGUAAACCAGCUGCGUAAGCUACGGAGGUUCGAAUCCUCCCGGGCCCA